ensembl:miRNA
CCAGGUCCCGUCGGUACGAGAAGCCCACGUUGCAACGUUUUACAAGCGGUCCGCACCGUCGGGGGCUGAUC